UGAACCGUAGCAGGGGUUAGUCAAGACUCAAGGAAGAAGACUAAUAAAAGAUGAACCACACGGCAUGUUUUUGCAAUCACAAAUCAGGUUUCGCACUGGAGAGAAAUUUCUAUGAUCUUCCCUUGCCGUCCUUCCUGGGAAUGCGGCUCAUAACUUUGGCAGUUGCGUUUAUAUUCAGAAAAAGAAGUGUGAAAAUGAAAGAAAAUUGGUGGCGAUGCUACUUUGCUGUCAACGUCUCCCCACAAAACGACCCAUUGAAGCUUUGAAAGCCACCCACCCAAUCAAAGACUUGAAUAGAGUCUGCCUGGGAAACAUCGUAGCCCAUCUACUCAGAAAACUGAACCGAGCCGAUGAAAUUGCGGACGGCGAUGCUGGUGGUCAUGGACGAUGAAAGGGGAGCUGCUUGCUUCACUGGUUAAAUAGCUGAGCAAAGUGGCGAUCAUGACAAAAUUGUUGAAUGGAAUCGGUGUUUUGCAGGACAUUGGAAACUCUAGAAUUUAGUUUUUUCUUUGAAUUUGUUCUUAAAGUGAUGUGUCAAUGUCUUCCAAGUUGCAGAGUUUGACUCGCUGGGUUGCUUCAACUUUGUUUCUUUCGCUAUUUUACCUUGCUUAUUGCUUAGCUGCAGUAUUUUUUAAAAGAGAUUUUCCUCCCUUUUUUGCCCCAAUCUCAAAGUCACUAUAACCCAAUCUCAUAUUAUGUAACAUGGUCUUAAGCAAAUCUUACUGAUUUUCCUUCUUU